GUUUCUAUUGGGGCCUUUUCAGGAACCUCCAUUUUCUGGUUGGAGGACAACCAAUUCACCCAUCUCUAUGGCACCUGCACGGUAUUAAGUAGAAAGGCCUGUAUUAUUUUUUCACCAGACUUACUUUCGGAUCAAAAAGCAGCCCAAAAAUAUUCAACACAUUUGCAAAGACUUUGUGCUUGGUAUUAAUUAAUACAUUAUGCUGUCCAACAGUAAUCCAUUAUAUGGAUGAUUUCCUGUUUAUCAAAAACAAUACUCAAUACUCGGGACAUUCUUUUAGGAUAGG